rnacentral:rRNA from 1 species
AAAUUGAAGAGUUUGAUCAUGGCUCAGAUUGAACGCUGGCGGCAGGCCUAACACAUGCAAGUCGAACGGUAACAGGAAACAGCUUGCUGUUUCGCUGACGAGUGGCGGACGGGUGAGUAAUGUCUGGGAAACUGCCUGAUGGAGGGGGAUAACUACUGGAAACGGUAGCUAAUACCGCAUAACGUCGCAA